GCGGAGGAAAAGAAACUAACAAGGAUUCCCCUAGUAACGGCGAGUGAAGCGGGAUCAGCUCAAAUUUAAAAUCUCCGUUGCUUGCAACGGCGAAUUGUAGUUUCGGAAGCGCUUUCUAGGCGGACCGACCGCGCCUAAGUUGCUUGGAACAGCACGUCAUAGAGGGUGACAACCCCGUCUGUGGCGAGGCCGGCCGC
rnacentral:rRNA from 1 species